GCUCGGAUGGUGGAAUUGGUAGACACGCUACUUUGAGGUGGUAGUUCCGAAAGGUGUGGGGGUUCGAGUCCCCCUUCGAGCA
rnacentral:tRNA from 3 species